GAAACUCAAAGUAGUGGUAUUGAGAAACGCCCACUUGCUAAAUUUGGAAAAGUAAGGUAAUGGUGGAUGCUUAGACAAAGCGCUUUGGUGAAACGUGUUGGAUUCGGAUUCAGAGCAUCAGAUUUUACAAAGAAGUAGUAGAAAGACUGUAGAUUAUGGAAGGGUAUUAGAGUCAAAAUUCCCAGCUUUUGUCCCAGUAUUUGUCCCAGUGUUUGUCCUGGUAAAUGUCCCGGUAAAUGUCCCGGUACACGUCCCGGUACGCCUUUUUCCUGUGGGCGAGGUCGACCUGCCUCCCAAAUUUGAGGUGUGGUCGUCACAGCCCAGCAAUUACUGCUUGCAUCCGCUCCAGUUCUUUGCCCCAGCAAGUGUCCCGGUAUGUGUCCCAGUAAGUGUCCCGGUUUGUGUCCCAGUAAGUGUCCCGGUAUGUGUCCCAGUGAUAAAACGCAAAACUUCACGAGAUUAGUGCAGCAAGUCCUAGAGUAACUUCUAUGAAGAGGAACACCAAGAAUAUCUGUCACCAACCGACGGAAACACUCUUGAACUGGACUGCAUUCCUCUAGAACGACUUUAAUACCACCCAUUUCAAGUGCUGUUUCAUACUCCUUUGUACUCCAAUCUAUUAAACAUUAUAACUUUAAA